rnacentral:rRNA from 1 species
UACAGAGGGUGCAAGCGUUGUUCGGAAUUAUUGGGCGUAAAGGGCGCGUAGGCGGUUCGGCAAGUCUCUAGUGAAAUCUCAGGGCUCAACUCUGAGUCUGCUGGGGAAACUGCCGGGCUUGAGUGUGGGAGAAGAGAGUGGAAUUCCCGGUGUAGCGGUGAAAUGCGCAGAUAUCAGGAAGAACACCCGUGGCGAAAGCGGCUCUCUGGAA